AUUGAACGCUGGCGGCAGGCCUAACACAUGCAAGUCGAGCGGAUGAAGGGAGCUUGCUCCUGGAUUCAGCGGCGGACGGGUGAGUAAUGCCUAGGAAUCUGCCUGGUAGUGGGGGAUAACGUCCGGAAACGGGCGCUAAUACCGCAUACGUCCUGAGGGAGAAAGUGGGGGAUCCUCGGACCUCACGCUACCAGAUGAGCCUAGGUCGGAUUAGCUAGUUGGUGGGGUAAAGGCCUACCAAGGCGACGAUCCGUAACUGGUCUGAGAGGAUGAUCAGUCACACUGGAACUGAGACACGGUCCAGACUCCUACGGGAGGCAGCAGUGGGGAAUAUUGGACAAUGGGCGAAAGCCUGAUCCAGCCAUGCCGCGUGUGUGAAGAAGGUCUUCGGAUUGUAAAGCACUUUAAGUUGGGAGGAAGGGCAGUAAGUUAAUACCUUGCUGUUUUGACGUUACCAACAGAAUAAGCACCGGCUAACUUCGUG
rnacentral:rRNA from 1 species